ACAUGAGCCAGCAGUGUGCCCAGCUUCAUCUUUGUGGCAUACUUAUCCUGCUACAAGCUAGUCCCCAGGGUUGUGGAUAUCUGCUUUCCAAUCUAAUUGAGAGGUAACUGCUCUGAAGGACACGGUCACCUUUACUGUGGCAGCUACCAGAGGGCUCACAGACUGCUCUUUCUUCUUGGAUUUCUGCAUAUUUUCAAACAGUAAGCCACUGUCAUGGAGCUUAAUCAGAAUUCAUGAAGCUGCUAAACGCAAGGAAGAUUAUUGAUGUUAUUAAAGAUGUAAAAGCACCAGACUGAGAUGAUGGGGCCUCUAGAGGAAGAAGAAGAUGGAAACCUCUGAGGGAAGCUGAAGCAGCUAUUCUGCACUCGGCAAGUUCACUGCCACGAUAGACUAGAAGCAUUUUUUAUCAUAGAUCAGGAGCUUGAAAGCCUGGGCACAACUGCCUCACAUCAAGCAUCUAAAUCCCUUUACCUAUAGUUUCUAAGUACACCUUCCUGGUCAUCAUCAUCAACAUUUUAAUUAACUUUCAAGACUUGAUUCCUUCUUCAUUUAAUCUUGCCUAAUGCCACUGAAAACAAAGGAGUGGCAUAGGUGUAGCUGGAUGGGAAUUUAAAAAUUGUGGAUUACAAAGAUGUUAAAGGCAGCAUAAUUUAAUUUACCCAGCUGGUAAUAACAAGAGAGAAAUUGUCCAGGUGUACUUUGCAUCCUAGCUUUUUUUUGCUGUACUAACUCUUUUUGGAGUAGAAAGUAAUUGUUAUAUUUCUAGAAACCGAUGAGUGAUAAGUGUGAAACUAAAGCCAUGCAAAUGAUUUUUUCAGAUUAGUUGCCAAACUGAAAAAUUAAGUAAAUUUGUUUAGACUGACCUAAAAUAUUUUUUUCCAUUAUUCCUUCUUCAGAAAAACGGAAGAAGUCCUGAUUUGAAUAAGUUGUUCCCUUUGACGGAAAAUUAGCUAUUUUAUUUAGAAGUAGUUAGAACAAGAAGAAUCAAAGUGCUCAGUUCACAGAAAUUUGGAGUCAGCGGUUGCCCUUGCUGAACAGCUGCGUGGUGAUACCACUUCACUUACUGGGAUGUGAGAACCUGGGUUAAAUUUGGAGGGAUCCGGCAGUCUCAGAAGACAGGAUCUUCAGAGCUAAAUCUCCCUCAGUCUCUCCUGCUGCAAUUCUUCCAUCCUGCUUCCAUAUAAAAUGCAUAAUAAAUAAAUAUUAGAUCAGUUGGAGCCCUCAUAUUUUUUUUUCCCCUCUGCCAAAGAAGCAGAUGGAAAGAAGGAUGUCGGAGAACAAGAAACACUGGCUCUUGCCUCCCUUCUCUGGCCAAGAAAGUCAGAAGAGCCUGCAACUGGAUGCCUUCAGAGUGAUGCCUUUAAGCUCCCCUCAACAUUUCCCCUGCCCUGCUUGCUAAAGUGCUGCUCCACCCUGGAUGUUUAAUUACAUACACAAAAUAUACCAGUGCUGGGAGCAGGGACUGGGGACCCCACCCAGGAAAACCUAAUAGCACCACAAUUAGAAGAAUAAUUUAAGCAGGAAAUAAAAAAUCUGAAUUCAAACAAUGUCAUGAAGAGGAAGGUCUUGAAUACAGCACCCAUAUACUGCAUCGUUCAGGUGCUCAGUAUUGCAUCAAAGAAGACACAAGCCUUUUCUUUUCCUCCUCCAGCUUUAUUUAUCAAGAGGAAAAAAAGUCAGCUGAAACUAUCUGGCAAAUCUGAUCCAGAUUAAAGUGUGUGUGUGGAACUAAAACCAGUACUUUCAGUAAUUACUACACUCAUCUAAAACAUUCACCCAGCUGAACACCACAGUGGUAUUCUUACAGCACACCUGUGCAGGCAGGAUGGUCGAGCUAAACUGGAAUUCAUUUUAUCUCUCCACAGCAGGUGAAAAAUAAAACUUUAAACCAGAAGGGAAUAAUACAGGUCUCUUGGCCUGCAUCAACUCUCGAUAACAGAUGACAAGCAGCUGCUCCUAUUGGGGUAAAAACUGCAGCCAGAGAUGAAGGAAAGAAUUUUUGUGUUCAUUGCCAUUGCAAAAGGUGGCAGGACAGUUCUGCAUCGUCUGGGUGAGCUGUGCUGUUGGGAGCCUUUCUGUCUCCCUGCUGUUUCCAGAUAUGGUCCUUUCUGUUGCAGUGCACCCUUAUGUGCAAGCCCAGACAGUUCCUUGCUCAGUGAUGGGCAGACCUGUGAUCUGGAAAGAGAGGGGCCCAAGCACUGGCUUCCCUUGUUUGUCCUCCAGGAAUCCAUCACUGCAAUCAAGCAAAGAGCUCAUGCAAAGAGCUCAUGCUAUGCCUGAAUUUCAUACCAGUGACAUAUUUGCCAGAAACCAUGGAUCAGGAUAGUCUCAGUUCCACUGCAUUGUGCCAGUUGUGGGGACAUAGACUAUUUUUUCAUAUACAAUCUAUAUAUUCUGUAUUUAUGAUCUAUCCAACUUCUUUGAGAGACUUUUGGUUGUGAAAAGGAGAUAGAAAAAUGCCAUCUCAAUCUUACCAAGCUAGGUAAAGUAUUCACAGAGCAUGUCCCAUUGCAAAGAUGAAAUUUGUCCUGACUUUCCUACAACAGAAAACCAAGCUCUUGCCUGUUACAACAGUCCUUUGAAAUUAACCUCGAUAGUUUCUAGGGAGUAGGGGCUGAUUUCAGCUUGCAGCUGUGGAUUCAAGUCUAUCAACCCAUAUAUGCCACGAAUGUUUUAAGCAAAUAAUUUAAUACAUUAUGUUGUUUAACAUCUAUGUCAAUCUGAAGAGUUAAAAAAUUAAUAUUCUGUGGUAUUACAUGUUCACUGGGCUGAUAAAAUUAUUUGCAGCAUGGAAUCUACUACAAAACCAUUGAAAAUGGAAGAGGCUGCACAAAACCAAGCUUUCAUAAUUUUUUGCAUAUCACUAUAUCCCUUUAAAAUAUUAAACAUUAACAUAACUAAAAGUAGUUGUAAAGUGUAUUAUUUCUAGACUGGAACACCGUUCCAGGACAAGCAGUACAGGAAUGAAGCCAGGAGAGUGGGCCUCCAAAAGAUGUUUUCCUAGGCAAAAAAGGGACAGUGAUAAAGCGUUCUCUGAUCUUCUGGAUGUGAUUAUAAAAAAAACAAUGAAGAGAGAUGACUUACUUUGUGGUGCAGCAGACACUGUGCUUCCACUGAUAAUGCAUGUGAGUCCACUGUGCAUAGAGCAGUUAUUAGUUUCACACAAGAAAUGAAAGAUGAUCUCAAUACAGACAGAGGUCUGCCAAAAAAAUGACAACAGGACAACUAUGUGGCAUGUAAUACCAGCUCUACUCACAAAUAAACACUUCAAAAGAGCAGAAUUACCUUAGGUAAGAGUUCUUUGUCUUUCCAGCGCAAAUGUACUGCAACCUUUGACAAAGAGAUGUUCUAAGAAAUCCUAUAUAAUUAGAACCAUUUAGGACUGAUUUAAUAAAGCAUGAAAAGGCAUCUCAUAGGAAAUCCAUUGACCCGUUUCACUGGUGCAAAUAGCUACACAUUAUUCUGUGUACAUCAUAUAUGCUCAGUGUUUUGGGAGGAAAACAAUGUAUGUAGAUAUAAAACUUAACUGGUAAUUCUGACUCUCAUAUUCUAAUUAAUUUCUUGUACACGCUUCUUCCUUAAAUAAGCCACAGACUAUAUCAGAUCACCCUUAUUAUUUUGCUAUUCAGUUCAUGUACCAUCAUGAUUUAAUGUAAGGUAACAGCAGAUCAAAAUCAAGGUUUCUCUUUCCAAGCCGCUGAUACAUAACAGAACCUGGCACAUCAACUGUCUUCCUUGGUUUUCCUCAAAUUCUAUCAUAUAACUACCGUAAGCAAUCCCUUUUCUCUCUGAAUCCAUAUGAAUUCAUAACAGUGCACUUCUAUAAUAAAGGUUUUUCUUCUAAAGAUUUGUUCUGCAGAACCCUUUUAAUUAAAGCAUGUCCAUAAAAGCUGGAAUAUGGGAGGCCAAUUUUUGUCGGAGCUGGUGCUGUGUGCUCUUGCAUAUGCUACACAUCUUGAAAGAAAAUUAUGGUGUCAAGACAAACAGAAAUAUCUUAUAACAGUUUGCUUUGUACUUUUAAUUUAUGCUUCUUUUUUUGAACAUGUUAAAUUUGAGUUUAUACGUAGGCUCAGCCCAGUACUUUUCUACCAAGUGUGUAAAGUGCUGCAGGGAGUGAUGUGCCUGUAAGCUAUAAUUUAGGGGCAGGUAGGAACUGCCUGAAAUACACGUAACUUCAUAAGUUAUUUCUAAAAUGCUAUUAUUACCUGAACCACCUCUGGUUUCAGAACUAAAUAUCCUUUCCUUCCCUCUGCACUGGGGUAGAAAGGUGGUGGGAGGGAAGUGAAGUUAUUUUUUAUUUCUGCGGCUGUGGAGUUGCUGUUGCUCCAGUGGCUGCAAGAGCCCACGCUAGCUGAGGGACACAGCUGGGCUGUUAAAGGCAGUGCUAGCUCUGGCAAAGCAAGGAUUCCCCAAACACAGAGCCAUCCUCAGACAGAUGGUGUUGGACUAUGGGCAAACAAUGAAGCUCGUAUGCAAAUACAAAAGGGCUACCUGCCUAUUAUAAACUUUUAAAAGUGAGGGGUGCAUAUUAACACAGUGCUCAGAUGUCAUAAUGAUGUCCAUUCGAAGCAUCUCGAUGCCCGAACCGAACAAUCAAUGUGAUCACACUAGUGUACGCAUUACAGUUUCUAAAUACAUCAAUU